rnacentral:rRNA from 1 species
UACGGAGGGAGCUAGCGUUGUUCGGAAUUACUGGGCGUAAAGCGUGCGUAGGUGGCUUUGUAAGUUAGAGGUGAAAGCCCGGGGCUCAACCCCGGAACUGCCUUUAAGACUGCAUCGCUUGAAUCCAGGAGAGGUGAGUGGAAUUCCGAGUGUAGAGGUGAAAUUCGUAGAUAUUCGGAAGAACACCAGUGGCGAAGGCGGCUCACUGGACUGGUAUUGACGCUGAGGUGCGAAAGCGUGGGGAGCAAACAGG